rnacentral:tRNA from 1 species
GCUGGCAGGAGGGCCGGCACGGUCCGUCGGCCGCGAUGGCCAAGGCCGCGCCGGGACCGUGCGGCACCUGCGGGUUCUUCCUGCCGCUGGCC